UACGAAGGGGGCUAGCGUUGCUCGGAAUCACUGGGCGUAAAGGGUGCGUAGGCGGGGCUUUAAGUCAGGGGGGAAAUCCUGGAGCUCAACUCCAGAACUGCCUUUGAUACUGGCGAGCUUGAGUUCGGGAGAGGUGAGUGGAACUGCGAGUGUAGAGGUGAAAUUCGUAGAUAUUCGCAAGAACACCAGUGGCGAAGGCGGCUCACUGGCCCGAUACUGACGCUGAGGUGCGAAAGCGUGGGGAGCAAACAGG
rnacentral:rRNA from 1 species